UCUUAAAGCGCGUUCAUUAUACAAUCUAUAAAUUAGACGCGCCAUUGUUAUAGGCUACUUGUUGUUUUAGCUGCACUCAACAGUUUUGUGAAAAUCAGCCUACUAUAGAAACCAACACAGAAAACGUUCUGUUUUAACAUAAGACUCCUCUCCACAGGGCGUAACAUUUAGGACUAGACUUAGGGAAAAAGCAGCUUAAGUCAGCGUGGUGCAACAGGCGCAACAUCAUUUUAGACAUAGAACGUUGAGUUAUGCCAGUCUUAGUUUAAGACUGGUCCUAAAUCCUGUUGGUGCAACCCGCUCCUGGAGGGUCAUGCAGAGGCCUGCUCAACAAAAAAUACGGAGUGUAACAGAGGAUGCCCCGCAGCCUUCACCCCCACCAGUUUGCCUACAGAGCGAACAGAUCCACAGGAGACGCAGUGGCGGCAGCACUCCAUGCCGCUCUGUCACACCUGGAGCAGCAGGGGAGCUGUGUGCGAAUGCUCUUUGUGGAUUACAGCUCUGCAUUCAACACCAUCCUCCCACACAAGCUAGUGAUUAAGCUGGGGGACCUCGGGCUCCCUUAUACCACAUGCAGGUGGAUCAGCGGCUUCCUCUCUGGCCGCAGACAGUCAGAGUUGGCCAUCACACAUCCACAGCCCUUAGCCUCAGCACUGGCUCCCCCCGGGGCUGUGUGCUCAGUCCCCUGCUCUACUCCCUCUACACACAUAACUGCACCACUGUCCAUCACAGUAACACCAUUGUAAAGUUUGCAGAUGACACCACAGUGGCAUGGUUUAUCUCUGGGGCGGAUGAGCCCACCUACAGAGAAGAAGUGGAGCGGCUGUCGAAUUGGAGCACGGCCAACAACCUUCUCCUUAACACUGCAAAGACAAAAUAACUCAUAAUAGACUACAGGAGAAAGAAGACUGAGAUCACACCAUUGACCAUCAGCCGGAUUAGUGUGGAGAGGGUGGCAGACUUUUGCUUCCGGGGGAUCCACAUACAGGACAGCCUAUCCUGGAGUGUGGACACCUCUGAGCUGCUGAAAAAGGCCCAGCAGAGACUGUCCCUCCUAAGAAUACUCAGGAAUUGAAGAGUAACAUCACACAAAGACUGCUGGUGUUCUUUUACCAAGCCUCCAUUGAAAGUAUACUCACAUACUGCAUAGGCAUUUGGUAUACCAGCUGUACAGUGGCUCAGAGGAAAAUGCUCCAGAGGGUCAUCAACACCGCUUAAAAGAUUGUUGGCUGCCCUCUCCCCGCACUGGGAGACCUACACAGAUCCCGUUGUCUCAAAAGAGCCCAGAACAUCAUAAGACACUUCACAUCCUGGGCACUCCCUGUUUAAAAUGUUGCCGUCAGGCAGACGGUACAGAUCAAUCAAGGAUGCAACAGAGGAUGCUGUGAGCAACACAGACCCCUUGCUGGACUACCCCUCUCUAGCUGGACAGCUUCUCUUCAGCCCUGACCCCAGGAUGGCUUCAUCCAGCUGGCCUGCUCUGCCUGCCUGCAGGCUCUGCUUGCCACUGCCUGCCAGCCCUCCAGAGACAGACAGUACAAUACAAAAUGGCUGAAAGGGGUGUAUUUAUGUAAAUGUUCACAUUGCCUCAAAUCUUUGUGAUACUGAUUAUUUAUUUAGUUAAACAGGUGUCCAGGUACUCCACAGUAUGACUAGCUGUAUAGUCAAAAUAGUAACGGUAAUGUUUCAUUCUGAGGGGAUUCCUACACAAUAGCUAAAUCUGGCUCUUUUUUCAUUUAACUGGCAAGUUUUCCUUUUACAUGGUAGUUGCUAUGGCUCAGGGUUAUUGACAAUUGCGAUGGACAUUUGAGAAUGAAUACACCCAAAGCUGCUAGAAUGUAGUAAAUAUUUAUUGAAUAUAGCUUUUUGCAGAAAGGACCUGACACACACAGCGUACAUUGGGUAGUCUGUCGGCAUCUGAUGAAACGUUCUCCAGAGACAGGCUUUUUAUACAUGGAGAUACAGCUGUAGCCACCUGCACACAUCAGUGUCUUGUUCAUAUUAUUAGCACAAAGUAUCAAAACACAAGGCUACAGUUUUCUCAGAAACUUUCUAGAAAGUCACUAAAUUAUAUAUAUAUUCACUACAACAGCUUGAUUGAUGGAAAGAUUACAAUUUCUUGUUUAGAACAGACUAAGUCAGUCUUUUCAAAGGUAUGCAAUUUACUUAAAUGUUUAGUUUAAUUGUUCAUUUUAUAGUUAAUUGCCUUUCAUAAUUAACAACUAUAAAAGUCAUGAUUUGCUUGCUCUAUAGAAAGUCAACACAAUUGAUCGUUGGUUUCACUUGUUGCUUGUCUACCCUUUUGGUUUGCCAUUUACUAUGUAGUCUACUGUUGGUAUUAUAGGCUUGUGUGCUGUCAGUUAUGUGUUUACUGCCUUUUUUCUUACUGUGCUGCCACAUGCCAAAGAAAAAUGUAAUGUAUGCAUUUGAUGAAUAAUAAAGUUUUGUUGUUUUACUAUGUCUGCCAUUAAAUCCAUAGACAUAAUAAAGAAUGUCUAUGAUUAAAUCA